GAUGAACGCUGGCGGCGUGCCUAAUACAUGCAAGUCGAGCGAACAGACGAGUCUCUUGCUCCUCUGACGUUAGCGGCGGACGGGUGAGUCACACGUGGAUAACCUACCUAUAAGACUGGUAUAACUUCGGGAAACCGGAGCUAAUACCGUAUAAUAUAUUGAACCGCAUUGUUCAAUAGGAAAAGACGGUUUUGCUGUCACUUAUAGAUGGAUCCGGGCCUCAUUAGCUAGUUGGUAAUGUAACUGCUUACGAAGGCAACGAUGCGUAGACGACCUCAGAGCGCGAUAGGCCACAAUGGACCUGAGACACGGUCCAGACGCAAAAGGGACGAAGCAGUAGGAAAUUUUCAGCAAUGGGAGAAAGCAUGACAGAGAAACGGCGGGGGAGUAAUGAAGGCCUUGAGUUCGUAAAAAUCUGUUAUUCGGGAACAACAAAUGUGUAAGCAACUCAGCACGUCUUGACGGUACCGGAUAAGGAAGCAACGGCUAACUACGUG
rnacentral:rRNA from 1 species